rnacentral:rRNA from 1 species
CACCGCCCGUCACAUCAUGAAAGCCGUUUGUACCCGAAGUCGCCCAAGCCAACCCGCAAGGGACGCAGGCGCCGAAGGUAUGGAUGGUGAUUGGGAUG